rnacentral:lncRNA from 1 species
GUUACACGGUGCGUAAAUGUGAUAUGUUCAUGCAAUUAACUUGGGUACCCUCUCUCACACCAAAGGUGAUGGAACCUAUAUCGUGGUUUGACAUUAUUAUACAUGAAGGGAAAUAGUCAAAUAGCCAAUACAAGGGAAUAAUUUUAUGUGGGCUUCUGACUUGUCAGAUCUCGACGUGCUUGGAUGGUGUAUCACAUGUGCAAUUUAUUUUGAUCCUGGGAGUUGUAUGCGGGAAAUAUGAUGGGGAAAACUAGUCAAACAGAAGCACGGAAAUUCCAAAUCCAAACAACACUAAUCUUAGGCUAGGCGGGCAUCGUAAAAUUGAAUUGGCCGCAGGAGCGCCCAUUGAUGAGGUGCUGCCCGGCGGUGAAUCCGAGCGUCUGCUUCUCCUCGUCNNNN